GACGAACGCUGGCGGCGUGCUUAACACAUGCAAGUCGAACGAAGAGCGAUGGAAGCUUGCUUCUAUCAAUCUUAGUGGCGAACGGGUGAGUAACGCGUAAUCAACCUGCCCUUCAGAGGGGGACAACAGUUGGAAACGACUGCUAAUACCGCAUACGAUCCAAUCUCGGCAUCGGGACUGGAUGAAAGGUGGCCUCUAUUUAUAAGCUAUCACUGAAGGAGGGGAUUGCGUCUGAUUAGCUAGUUGGAGGGGUAACGGCCCACCAAGGCGAUGAUCAGUAGCCGGUCUGAGAGGAUGAACGGCCACAUUGGGACUGAGACACGGCCCAGACUCCUACGGGAGGCAGCAGUGGGGAAUCUUCCGCAAUGGACGGAAGUCUGACGGAGCAACGCCGCGUGAGUGAUGACGGCCUUCGGGUUGUAAAGCUCUGUUAAUCGGGACGAAUGGUUCUUGUGCGAAUAGUGCGAGGAUUUGACGGUACCGGAAUAGAAAGCCACGGCUAACUACGUG
rnacentral:rRNA from 1 species